AUGGUAUGGACUGCAGAGGAGACUUCGAGCCACUGUCGGUCCAUUUAAAUUGUUUGACACUUCACUUCAUUCACUGAAGGACAAUGGUUGGCUGACCGAUGAGGUGAUCGAUGCUUACCUGCAUCACUCACUGAAAAAGCAGCAAAGACCGGUAUUCCACCUGAAUGUUGUGGAAACAACACUUUUCCAGGGGCAGCAUGGACGACUUAAGAAGAUGCAAUUCCCUGUGGAGGACAUGUGGGUGUGUCCAGUGAAUACAGGGGCCCACUGGAUUCUUGUUAUUGUUGACAUGUCCAGGAAAACUCUUAACCUCAUUGACCCUCUUGGAAA